CAUCUUCCUGUCAACAAAGGUCUGCUUCCAGCUUUUGGCCAUCACAAACAUGUGUGUAGGUGGAAACCUGGAUAUGGUCUACAUUGGGGAAGGGGUUUUGCUUUUGUUUCUGCAGGAGAAGAAAAGCUAUGGAUACCAACAAAAUUAAUAAAAAUUUGAUUCAAACAGGAGAAACCCCUUGAUGAGGAGAAGUAAAAGAUCAUCCACCAACAUAACAUCUCCACAAGUUGUAAGAAAAAUUUAACAAUCAAAGGAUGAGGAAGAGUUCUGUUUUUGUCUUUCCAGGAUAAUGGAAAUACCCAUCUUCCAGAAAUCAUAAGGCCUUGGAUAUCCAGAUAUUUGCAGCAGAAAGAAAGAAUCUAUUGGUACCAAUCUACACAGGGUAAAAUCUCACUGUCUAACAUCUAUAUCUCUAUCGAUCUAGAAUAGUUGUGGUUCCAAUUCAAUUAUAAACCAAGCUGGCUUUGGAGAUGGAAUUGGUUCACUCCUCUAAACCCAAGUAUAUUGAUAAAAGAAAAGGUUGAGAGAUUCUUCAGUCCCAUAUCAGAACAGCCCUCUGGUGUGAGACAGAAGGAAACCAAUAAAAAGGAACCAUUGUCUUCAAGAUUCUAAUUCUUUCCAUGCUUACUCUUGAUCUCUCGGAAUCCUUUCUUAUAUGUUAUGUCCUCUUUAAAUCCAAACUCUCCAUUUUGAUAAAAAUUAAGUUUUUCCAAUAGCAAUCUCUGAAGUCUCCAGAAGGAAGAUGGGGCCCCAACAACAACAACUCUACCCAAUCCAGAAUGAUGCCAUGGCGGGGCCAAGAGAAGACCCUGAAGACCCCAGAUCCAGAUGCGCCACCUCUCUCUGUUCCUGGACCCUGGACAGUGGAGGUAGACCGAGCAGAGUUCUCCAGAGAACACCACCGGACUGCGACACACCUUCCCCAGACCCUGCAACCUACCUAUCCCUUCAUUUGUAAGUUACAUCACUAAAUAAACCUCCCUUUUAACUA